AAGCCUGCAGAGAGAGAGGCAGGGUCUGAUCUGCAGCCUCAGUGGCAGCUGUUGAUCAGCCAUUGCCUCUCUCUUUAUCUCCC
rfam:Myotis brandtii contig304032, whole genome shotgun sequence.